UUAUUGUUGGGCUGGGAGUAUACCGAGGGGACUAGUUAUUACCAUUUUGCCGUUGAUUUUUACGUAUUGGUGUACCCCUUUCACAAGAUUUUGACAGUUUCCCGCUGCCUUCGCCGGCUUUCGCCCGUGUUUUCGCCGCACUAAACUUGUCUUGUUUUGUUUAUUUAUAAUACACUUCGAUGGUGCGCGGUCUAAUUGGUCAUUCCGGUUGUGAAAAUUCCGGCAAAUGCCGUUCCCAGCCGAUGAUAUCACAAAGAAGUUAUUUCCGGGUUAUGGAGAGAGUGUAUCCCGGCUGAAGGUGCCCUAAAAACUAAUGGAUGAUAACGAGUGCGACUGCCAAGCGACCGAAACGAGCCGGGCUGUAUAAACCGUGCUCUGGUGGUGGAGUGUAAUCAGUUGUGUCUAGAUGGUGAAAGUUGCCCAAUGAAUAACACAAAAGCUGAGCACAGAAGGACAUCCGGCAUGGGCAGCUCGUGAACGAGUGAUCGAUAAUGAGGACUGGAAGCAGAAAGUGUUCAGAAGGACAGGAACUACAGUGGAUUCCGAGCUGACAAUCGAUGCUUUAACAGGUGGGCGGUGCACAGUCGGUCGGGUUGUAUGUAAUCAAGGACAUCAAAGCAGCUAGGAGCUGCCACUGUAACGCGAGCAAAUGCCCCGGCUUUAUCUGGAAUUAUUACCGUCCUCCGCUGGAAAAUUCAUAAGUCAAAUGUCGGGCAAAAAGACUGAAAUAUCGAAGCGUAAAAAAUCGCAGACAAUCGUCUGUGGUAGCGGAAAAGUGCCAUUGAAAGAGCUUCGAAGGCUGUCACGCUGACACUCCUAGAUAUCUUAUGACUAAUUAGGUGAGCUUAGCUGCUACGGAGGAUACCCUAAAGGGGGACGCUGAUUCCGGAUUGAAACAAAAACAUAGUCGCCGAACGAGAGUGUUGGCAAGCGGACAUAAUAGUUGUCCAUCGUUUCGAGUGGGGUUCAUUUCGUAUGGGACAAUCCGCGCAGGUGUACGGGGUUUUUUUUUUUCAUUGUUUAAUCCUGUAACGACUUAGAGAAAAUGAUGGAACUUGGCACAUAGACCAGCGCUUACCAAACUCGGUUUUCGCGGCGCCCCAACGUGUCGCAGGCUCACCAUUUCCACUCGUUUAAGCGAGCCUGGUGCGCCGCGAAAAAAGAGUUUGGGAAGCGCGGACAUAGACGAUCCGAAAAGGAUCGGUCAUUCCCUGGACUACACACGAUUAGAUAUUCCGGAGAAACUUAACGUAAUUGAAUUUAUAUUCACGUUUCAGCUAUGCCUCUUUCGGCGCAUAGCUAGGUGUAUCGAAUAAACAUUGAAUUCAAUUUCUUUUACUCGAAAAAAUCAAUUGCGUACAAUCGCGCCCGUAAUCAAUCACUCGACCUCAGUGGAAUCCGUCGCUCGCUUUUGGCUGAUUUUUCAGAGCUUGACAGUUGAUCUUCGGUAGGUCCCAGAAUAUGUCUUCACAUCAGCAACUCUCACGAUGCCAUCAUGCCCUGGAUAAUACUGCUGAAUUAUGUCCAUCGGCAUCCCUCGUUCAGUGAGCAUGUCGGUUAUAUCUCCAGGCUGUAACAUGGAUUGUUGGUUUGCCCACUUCUGUUUAGGAAUCAAAUCAGGCAAGUAACAGGGUGGCCACUCAACCGGGAAUACCGGUCUUAAGACGAAAAUAAUUUUCAAACUGAUAAUUAAUUAACC